rnacentral:snRNA from 1 species
GGAUGAGGCCGCUGGCUUCCAGCCUCCAUCUGGCUGCAACAUUGGUCACCCCAUGGAUCGCCAAGUUUGAGUCAAUUGACCUGGCUGGCUAGACAGGUGUCCCCUGCAUCCCUCACCGCUCCACAUGCGUCCCUCCCGAAGCUGCGUGCUCAGCUGGAGAGGAUGGCCUUCCUGAUAGAAGGAGGGCCGUCCUUCCGUCCAGGGUAUACAAGUAGCUGUGCUCCCCUGCUGGAACUGCCAAACAAGCUCUCAAGAUGUCCAGCCUCGGAAACGCCCCGGGGCAGGCCUACUGU